CCCGAGACCCGCGACUGGUGGUGUCCCGCCAGGGGCCGGUGCUGGGGCCAGCACUGGCCAUCGUUAUAGGCCACAUGGAGAGUGGGACUGAGUUCGCUCUCAUCAAAAUUGCUGAUAUACCAAGCUGUGUGGUGCCAUCAAAAGGAUGCCAUCCAGAGGCAUCGGGAUAGGCUUGAGAGAUGGUCCCAUGUGAAUCUCAUGAAGUUCAGCAAGGCCAAGUGCAAGGUCCUGCACCUGUUCAGGGCAAUCCCAGAGGCUGGGUGAUUGAGAGCAGCCCUGCAGAGAAAGACUUGGGGGUAAUGGCUGAUGAAAAACUCAGCUUGAGGCAGCAGAGUGCACUUGCAGCCCAGGAAGCCAGCCAUGCCCUGGGCUGCAUCAAAAGCACUGUGGGCAGCAGGUCAGGGGAAUGGAUUGUUCCCCUCUCCUCCUGGGAGACCCUGCUGUGUCACAGGCUCUGCCAGCAGAAGGAGGACAUGGAACUGUUGGAGCAAGCCCAGAGUAGCACCACGAAGUUGAUAAGAGGACUGGAGCACCUUCCUUAUGAAGACAGGGUAGCAGUUAGGAAUGUUCAGCCUGGAGAAGAGAAGGUCGCAUGGAGACCUCACGGCAACCUUCCAGUAUCCAAAGGGGUUCUACAGGGAAGCCACAGAGGGACUCUUUUUCAGGAACUUUAGUGACAGGACAAUGAGUAAUAGCCUCAGAAAGAGAAGUUUCAGAGUGGAAUAUGGAUGCUACGUGUGAUGUAAGUGACUAUUAUCAUCUGCCUCACCUACUUGUCUGACUUUAAAUAAUUAAACAAACAAACAAAAAAAUAUAAUUACAGGAAUCUGAAAUAAAUUAUUAGAAUGGAAAUAAUAUUCAUUGUCAUUCCUGGUGAUACUGGCUUGACACAUUAGGGUCUUUAUACGUCUUUCAAAAAUGGUUUGUGAUUUUUUAAUGUCAAAUAAGUGAUGGAGCAGGUACCACUCUUAGGCAAAAAAGGCCACUGCAAAUUAAAUCACAGUAACAAGAUAAGGCUGUCACUAUGCAAGUCUCUGCUGCCCUGAAGCUAAUGUGCACAAUCUGUUUUUGCAAGUGCUUUCGUGUUUUUGCUCUUUAUUAUGAACAUAUACAGCAUGUAAGUGUUUUUAGUAUUGGCUGACUCUGGUAUUUUGUAGUCACGAUUGUGGUAUUUAAACAGGAGAUGAUCUGUUCUGCACAUGGAAAAGGGACUGUGUUAAAGAGGAAAUAAUUUUAAAAAGCAUUGCUUUUUUUUGGCAAGAGGAUGUUAUGUUUAUUUCUCAAAGAACAUACUCAGUGUUCAUUAUGUUCAUGUACAUACCCAUGCUGAUUUGAAUCUGAUUUCUAUUCCGUACCUCGGAAGCAUUAUCACCAUGUUAGAAAUGCAAGUGUGCUAUUAAAUUGCAAAGUUCUUACAUGUAUAUAGUCUCAUCUAAUUCAGAUGUUGUAUAACAUGACUUCCCAAUUUCACUCUAGGAGCUGUGAUUACUUAGAUUAAAUAAGCAAUGUCACUUGAAUAGCAACUUCCAUGAAUAAUGGGGAUCUUUUUAUAAAACUUCAUCAUCUUGUUAAUACCCAAAUGCAUUUGGUAUGGUAAAACAGCACAUUGCCAUUAAUUAAGAAAAUUUCGUUGAAAGAAUCUGCCUGGCAGUGAUUUUUAAAACACAUUUCAAGACUUUCUGAAAGUCUUUAAAUACAAACAUGACAUGAUUGUGUUAUGAAGAUGUGUUUGAUGAGGUGAAAGCAGUGAAGAUUUGAGAGAAGUGAGUACUGAUGUUAUCUCCUGAAUAAAUUAAGAAUCAAUAAGUUUCUUAAUGGAGAGCAAGAGUCAAGGUGAAGGUGAGAAGGACAAAACAAAAGAGUAGGAGGUGAGAAUGAAUCCAAACAGGUCCUAAGGCAAGGAGGAAGUACUUUCUCUCUGGUUGAGAUAGUCUUUAGAUUUGGUUCCAUAGGAUAUGAUGGAGUUGCAUAAGGGCAUAAUUCUGAGCUCCAUGGUCAAGGCACUGGUUUGACAUAGUAAAGGAAGCUCUCUUCAUGUGAUCUAAAGAUAGGUAAGUAAAAACAGUCAUCUUUUGUUUCUGUUCAGCCAUUUUGGUAACUUCUGUUUCUAUUCAGCAGUUUUAAGUGAGAAGUAUAGUGCUCUAGGCAUAAUUGCCUACCAGCAGAUGGGUCCUCUGGGGGAGUGGUAUGGCUAUCAGAAAAUGUGAAAAAUUAGGUAGGAUGACUGGACCCUGAAGUAAUCUUAACACUCCCUUUCACUUCUUCCUGCCCAUCAACUUCAAUAAACCAGUGCACAAAAGCUGUUUGGAAAACGGCCAAUUCAAAACAAAAUUUUGUGUGUCAUUGUAGUUAUAUGAAUGCUAAGCAACACCUACAAUGAAGCAAACUGUGGAGAAGCUGUGCCCUUUCAGAAACAUUUCAUAGAGUUCCAUAAAAAAAAAAAAAAAGGUAAAAUGUCUUUGGUAACAAGUCUAGCCUAGAAACUUUUCACAGCAGCUUUCCAUGAUGGUUUCAGAGUAAUUUAUGUCAAAAAAUUCAAAUAUCAGUAGAAACUGUGAUUUCCGUAGGUAUAAAGUGACUCAGUGUGAUAUCAUGGUGAUAGAAGUGUGAUACCAUGGUGAAAAAACACACAGGAACUUCUGUUACACUUGUGUGAAUAGGUGUGCAGAACAAAAAACCUCACUGAAUGUCAAAGAUGUGAUUCUGUCAUAGGUAUUAUCCCAUCAGGCCUGAGGUGAUGACAUAAAAUUGUGCAUCUCUUGACUUAGUAGGUCUUUCAUAGUUGAUUUCUGAAACUAUAUGCCAAACAGUACCACCAUCUUUCAGUUCAUUCUAAGUGACAGAUGGGAAAGACUUGUCACCCUUCCCUGUGUGCUGUGGCCCAAGCUUGUCCUGGAGAAGACAGUGAAAUGUGUGCACAUUGGCUGUGAUGUCACCCCAGGAGGCACAACUCCAAGGCUAGACUGUAAUCCUUAUCACAUGUAUAUCAGUAAUUCCUUUCUUUUCACUGGAGUUUCACUGCUGAUGUGAGGAACAUCAGCUACAAUUCCUGACUGUUGGAAAUCAACCAGAAAUUUGAUUUCUGUAGAUGAAACAAUAGUUUAAAACAGCAGAUUUAUUAAGUCUUUGACUAUGAACUGGAAGAUUUAUGUAUGAGCCUAAGUCUUAUGGCUUUAAACUUUAUAAUUUUAAUGUAGCCUUAUUUUUAAAAUGGAAUUCAUUCAUGUUACUACUGUGUAGUAAUGUUUUACAGGCACUAUUAAUUCUUAUCCAGGAUUACAAAUAUGCCUAAGAAUGAAAUGGAUGUAGAUGUUAUGGUAUUAAUUUAUGUAUUUUUGGAAAACAUCAAAGUCACAUAACUUUAUGACUAAUGAUUUAAUUUCAUUAUACAGGUCUGCAUUUUCAUCUUCAAAGAAAUCUGCAACCAAUGACUAAUUAAUCCUUGCAACAGUGCUUUGAAAUAGGUAGAUAGAUGUAAUUAAUUCCAUCUAACCAAUUCCUUGCCAAAGGCAAUAUGUUGAAUCAAUAUUUAAACUAAGAUUAGAGGUCAUUCUUACUUUUCAGUCAUUUCACUAAAGUAGCAAUUCCCAAGUGUCCUUGAUGUGAUAGUUUAGAUGGACAUAUGCUUUGGCCUGUGCCAGAUCUUCAGUCUCUAUCAUCCACUUCUCUGCCAAAAUGCUUUCUGUCCUUCUUCCCCUCAGAAAAGUCUUCCACUCUGGUCAAGCCACAUGUGCAAUGUCCUGCUUUUCACCUCCAGAAUCCCAUACCUGCCUUUUUCUUUCUUAUUCAUAUCCCUCCUUAACCAAGUCCUUGCAACCACAGUCCUCCUCCCACGACUUUUCUGUCUUCCAGGUGCCAUUGCCCCUCUCUGGUGGAUCCUUGCUUCUGUGCUUGGCAUGCAUGUAGCAUCCCCUAAUGAAAUAGCAUUGCUUUCCCCUGCCCUGGCCUCCCCAGCAGCCAUGAGGAAGCUCUGCUGGUGUAGCUGCUUUUCUCUUCUAGCUGGCUCAUUCUUGUGUGGUGAGCAGAGAGAAGAUUGAAGGAUAAUCCCCAGCAGACAAUGGUGAAAUGAUUUGAAGAAAAACAGAGAAAGAUUGAGCUUUCAUCUUUCCUCUGAGAGUAUGCAAGCCGUACUCAUGAGAGAUAUGGACAAACUGGCAUGGCAAGAGAUACUGGAAAACCUAAGCAUAAAGGAAUAUGAAAGAUAUGGCAGGAGAGAGAAUUUUUAAGUGGAAUGCAAAAUUAUGCAGAAAACAUGUGAGUUAUGUUCUCUCGAAGCUGAAAAUUACUCACCCCUUUCAUAUGCAAAUGUUGUAAAGAUGCCUUCUAUCUGAAAAGGCCCAGAAAUAACAGCUUCAGCCUUUGGAGUACAAGAAAUCUGCAUGCUACUUAUGGAACCCAUAGCAGAGGUCUCAUGAUAAUGUGGUCAGAAGGCACAAUGUGAAGACUGCAAAGUACUGCUGUGAGAAAGGGCACUGACUUAUUCACCAGCCAGAGGAAACAGGUGCAUGAUGAAUGGUGCAAGGAAAAACAAGUGAGCAAGGAUCUAACCUAACUUGAAUGGAAUGGCUCUUCAGUCUGCUUUGUAACUUGUGGUUUUGGCAAUUUUUGGUAUGCACUACAGAGGCUAAAUCCCUCCACUCUUUCUGAUACUUUGUGCUACACCAAUUGACCUAAGGAUAGGAUUUAAACAUAAGGUUGUCCUUGAGGCAAGGACUUUGAAACCAGAAAUGUGGAAAUUAGCUUUUCCUCUCCUUUAGUGUAGAUUUACCACCAACUCAGAAACCUAUGACGCAGUUUCCUCCUCUACCUCUAAUGACACAGAUGCCUAAAGUUCUUAGCCUGAAAACCUGAAUUUACCUCUGCUUAUUUCUCCAUGUAGGAUGAAUGAUUCAUUUUGUUCCAUGACGCUGCUUCCAACUGCAAAACUGUUACAUAAAGGCACUCAGGCCUUCUGCUUUUCAUUCAGCUUUGGGAAUUUCCUCUGCUUUAUCACCAAGACCUAGGUAGAGUGAAGUUCAGGAUGAUUUUGAAUCAGCAAUCCACACAGAGUAUAUUUUUUUGUAUUUAUGUUAUGUUUCUGUUAUAGUAUACUUUCUGGUAUUUAACAUUUAUCCCACUUCAAAAUUCAAUAUUUUUAAGUUAAAUACUGCUUUGUCUUGUCUAUGAUCAUUGUAUAUCAGCAUGAUAUUUACCCAGUCCCAAUUCAAGAAGACUGUCCUCUUCAGAAGGGAGCUCAGGAAUCUGUGUAUAUCACAAGACCAGCAGUGGGAAGAAUACACACAGAUUUAACAAAUGAAUAGAAAUGGCCUGCACUGGGAAUAGUUUAUUCCCCAAAAUAACUCAAUUAAUUCUAUUUAUUCUUGUAUAUUUUUUAAAACCAAAAACGUAUACAGCUCUUUUAAUUGUGAAGGUUUUUUAGUCCUAAUUUUUCUCCUGGCUCUCAAUAUUUGUUUAUUUCUGUUUAUGAGUUUUAUGCUCAUCUAUAGCUUCAAAGGUAAUUAAAUAUGCACCCUCUGAUUAGGCAGGCCCCACACAUGGGCAGCAUCUGUUCAACACAGUGAGAUGUAGACUGACCUAUAUAGAGAUGGGUGAUGAAGGGAUGAGGACUUCUCCUGUUUCCUCACCCAGGUUUCCUUUUUGUAUGAUAGACUAGGAUGCUGCUUUGCUCCUAAUAUAAUGGUUAACCAUUCCUAACAAAGUGAUUUUCAGUAGGUGAAACUUUCCAGUUUAUUAGCAUUAUUUUGACUUUGAAAAAAUGAUAAUUAGUAUGUGCUAAAAUGGUAUACCUGAGGCUUUCUGCUAUUAGCUCUGAAACAGGAGACAAAGAGCCAGGAGUAAUAGAACAUUUUAAAUUUGGUUUGGGAAGUAUUAAUAUGCUUCAUGUAAAACUAUUAUUUCUGUUCACUGUAAGCUAUUAUUGAAACAUAUUAAAGGCAAUCAUCACAAUAUUCUAGACAUCAUACUAUUCUCUGUCAGUAUGUUAUUAAAUAGCAUCAUAUAUAUGACAAAUGUGUUCUCUAAGCAUUUAAAUGAUUUGUUUUGUUUGGGGAGGAGGGGAAAUGCAGCAAAACAGCACUAUUGGGCCAUAUUUUUAGCUGCUGCAAAUUAACAUAGCUCCACUGGGAGUAGUGCCAGGAAUUUAAAAUUAUUGUUGAACUUUACAGUAGAAUCAGCUACUGUGGCACUUCAAUUAUA